rnacentral:rRNA from 1 species
GCAGUCGCACGAGAACGCUUCAGCCUUGCUGAAGCAAGUAAAGUGGCGCACGGGUGAGUUAACGCGUGGGUAAUCUACCCUCAAAUUGGGGAUAACCCCGCGAAAGCGGGGCUAAUACCGAAUAACAUCCUGAAAAUUCAUGUUUUCAGGAUCAAAGGUGGCCUCUACAUGUAAGCUAUUGUUUGGGGAUGAGCCCGCGUACCAUUAGCUUGUUGGUAGGGUAAUGGCCUACCAAGGCGACGAUGGUUAGCUGGUCUGAGAGGAUGAUCAGCCACACUGGAACUGACACACGGUCCAGACUCCUACGGGAGGCAGCAGUGAGGAAUUUUGCGCAAUGGGGGAAACCCUGACGCAGCAACGCCGCGUGAGUGAUGAAGGCUUUCGGGUCGUAAAGCUCUGUCAAGUGGGAAGAACCCAUAUGGUGUUAAUAUCGCCAUAUGCUGACGGUACCACUGAAGGAAGCACCGGCUAACUCCGUGCCAGCAGCCGCGGUAAUACGGGGGGUGCGAGCGUUAUUCGGAAUUACUGGGCGUAAAGAGCGCGUAGGCGGUCUUUUAAGUCAGGUGUGAAAGCCCGGGGCUCAACCCCGGAAGUGCACUUGAAACUAAGAGACUUGAGUAUGGGAGAGGGAAGUGGAAUUCCUGGUGUAGCGGUGAAAUGCGUAGAUAUCAGGAGGAACAUCAGUGGCGAAGGCGACUUCCUGGACCAAUACUGACGCUGAGGCGCGAAGGCGUGGGGAGCAAACAGGAUUAGAUACCCUGGUAGUCCACGCAGUAA